rnacentral:rRNA from 1 species
GACGAACGCUGGCGGCGUGCUUAACACAUGCAAGUCGAACGGAAAGGCCCUGCUUUUGUGGGGUGCUCGAGUGGCGAACGGGUGAGUAACACGUGAGUAACCUGCCCUUGACUUUGGGAUAACUUCAGGAAACUGGGGCUAAUACCGGAUAGGAGCUCCUGCUGCAUGGUGGGGGUUGGAAAGUUUCGGCGGUUGGGGAUGGACUCGCGGCUUAUCAGCUUGUUGGUGGGGUAGUGGCUUACCAAGGCUUUGACGGGUAGCCGGCCUGAGAGGGUGACCGGCCACAGUGGGACUGAGAUACGGCCCAGACUCCUACGGGAGGCAGCAGUGGGGAAUAUUGCACAAUGGGCGGAAGCCUGAUGCAGCAACGCCGCGUGAGGGAUGACGGCCUUCGGGUUGUAAACCGCUUUCGCCUGUGACGAAGCGUGAGUGACGGUAAUGGGUAAAGAAGCACCGGCUAACUACGUG